AUACGUAGGUGACAAGCGUUAUCCGGAUUUACUGGGCGUAAAGGGCGUGUAGGCGGUCUUGCAAGUCAGAAGUGAAAUUCCUGAGCUCAACUCGGGCGCUGCUUCUGAAACUGCAGGACUUGAGUGCUGGAGGGGAUAGCGGAAUUCCUAGUGGAGCGGUAAAAUGCGCAGAUAUUAGGAAGAACACCGGUGGCGAAGGCGGCUAUCUGGACAGUAACUGACGCUGAGGCGCGAAAGCGUGGGGAGCAAACCGGAUUAGAUAUCCUGGUAGUCCACGCCGUAAACGAUGAAUACUAGGUGUAGGGGGUAUCGACUCCCUCUGUGCCGCAGUUAACACAAUAAGUAUUCCGCCUGGGGAGUACGGCCGCAAGGUUGAAACUCAAAUGAAUUGACGGGG
rnacentral:rRNA from 1 species